rnacentral:lncRNA from 1 species
GAUGUUUGCAGAGUCAUGGUUAAAUACAAGACUACUGUCGACCCUCGAGCAAGGUCCAGUGGCAUGGGUAAUUCAGUUGCACAGCCUUCGAUUCCACCUUCUCACUCUACACCACCGUUUGUGAGAUCUCCAAUGCCACUCAGUCCUCGCUACCAUCGAUGUCCAUUCUGACGUCCACAACGGCAGCUACUCCAUUCGAUCUAGAGGAAACAUCACCAACGUCAACUAUUGUCAUUGGUGCGUCAAACUCUGUAUCUUAGUCUAGUGGUCAAGGGCCAAGUGUAUGCUUGCCCACUCUUACCAAUCUGGACUGAUGUAUCCUUUUACAUCCUGUAAGAGAG